rnacentral:rRNA from 1 species
UACGUAGGGGGCGAGCGUUGUCCGGAGUUACUGGGCGUAAAGGGUGCGCAGGCGGCGGUUCGCGUGGCGAGAUGAAAUCUCCCGGCUUAACUGGGAGGGUGCGCCGUAGACUGUGGGGCUAGAGUGUGGGAGAGGAAAGUGGAAUUCCUGGUGUAGCGGUGGAAUGCGUAGAGAUCCGGAAGAACACCGGUGGCGAAGGCGGCCUGCUGGGCAGUAGCUGACGCUGAGGCGCGACAGCGUGGGGAGCAAACAGG